CGAAACGCGGUGUGUUUGCUGAACUACGCGUGCACAUCGCGAGGCAGCUCGAGACGCGGUGUGUUUGCUGAGCUACGAGUGCGCAUCGUGAGACGCAACCAGGAAUUAUCAACUCGCUCACUUCUAUUGAAACACAUUUAAGACAAUUUUGGGAGCUGGAGGAGCUUCCCAGGUCAGGUGCUGAUAAGUUUACUCCAGAGGAACGUGCGUGCGAGGAGCUUUACGUCAAAACUACAACGCGUGGUGAUGAUGGAAGGUUCUCUACGCUUCAGAAGCGGCAUACGGCGCAUGUGUCUAUGUACGCACCG
rnacentral:misc_RNA from 1 species